rnacentral:rRNA from 1 species
CCUACGGGGGACAGCAGUGAGGAAUAUUGGUCAAUGGGCGCGAGCCUGAACCAGCCAAGUAGCGUGAAGGAUGACUGCCCUAUGGGUUGUAAACUUCUUUUAUAAAGGGAUAAAGGGAGCCACGUGUGCCUGUUUGCAUGUACCUUAUGAAUAAGGAUCGGCUAACUCCGUGCCAGCAGCCGCGGUAAUACGGAGGAUCCGAGCGUUAUCCGGAUUUAUUGGGUUUAAAGGGAGCGUAGAUGGGUUGUUAAGUCAGUUGUGAAAGUUUGCGGCUCAACCGUAAAAGUGCAAUUGAUACUGGCAGUCUUGAGUACAGUUGAGGUAGGCGGAAUUCGUGGUGUAGCGGUGAAAUGCUUAGAUAUCACGAAGAACUCCGAUUGCGAAGGCAGCUUGCUAAACUGCCACUGACGUUGAUGCUCGAAAGUGUGGGUAUCGAACAGGAUUAGAUACCCGGGUAGUC